GGGGGCAAGGGAUUGCCUCAGUAGCGGCGAGUGAAGCGGCAAGAGCUCAGAUUUGAAAUCGUGCUUUGCGGCACGAGUUGUAGAUUGCAGGUUGGAGUCUGUGUGGAAGGCGGUGUCCAAGUCCCUUGGAACAGGGCGCCCAGGAGGGUGAGAGCCCCGUGGGAUGCCGGCGGAAGCAGUGAGGCCCUUCUGACGAGUCGAGUUGUUUGGGAAU
rnacentral:rRNA from 1 species